rnacentral:tRNA from 1 species
AACUGGAUAGCCUAGUGGUCAAAGGCAGUGCUUCUAGCAGUGUCUCUGCUUAUGAUGAGGUCCCAGGUUCAAUUCCUGGUCUAGUCA